rnacentral:misc_RNA from 1 species
AAGUCGUAACAAGGUUUCCGUAGGUGAACCUGCGGAAGGAUCAUUACCGAGUGAGGGCCCUCUGGGUCCAACCUCCCACCCGUGUUUAUUUACCUUAUUGCUUCGGCGGGCCCGCCUUCACUGGCCGCCGGGGGGCUCACGUCCCCGGGCCCGCGUCCGCCGAAGACACCCCGAACUCUGUCUGAAGAAUGAAGUCUGAGUGAAAAUAUAAAUUAUUUAAAACUUUCAACAACGGAUCUCUUGGUUCCG